CGCACGCAGGCGGUUUGUUAAGUCAGAUGUGAAAUCCCCGGGCUCAACCUGGGAACUGCAUCUGAUACUGGCAAGCUUGAGUCUCGUAGAGGGGGGUAGAAUUCCAGGUGUAGCGGUGAAAUGCGUAGAGAUCUGGAGGAAUACCGGUGGCGAAGGCGGCCCCCUGGACGAAGACUGACGCUCAGGUGCGAAAGCGUGGGGAGCAAACAGGAUUAGAUACCCUGGUAGUCCACGCCGUAAACGAUGUCGACUUGGAGGUUGUGCCCUUGAGGCGUGGCUUCCGGAGCUAACGCGUUAAGUCGACCGCCUGGGGAGUACGGCCGCAAGGUUAAAACUCAAAUGAAUUGACGGGGGCCCGCACAAGCGGUGGAGCAUGUGGUUUAAUUCGAUGCAACGCGAAGAACCUUACCUGGUCUUGACAUCCACGGAAGUUUUCAGA
rnacentral:rRNA from 1 species